rnacentral:rRNA from 1 species
CCUACGGGUGGCAGCAGUGGGGGAUAUUGCACAAUGGGGGGAACCCUGAUGCAGCGACGCCGCGUGGGUGAAGGAGUGCUUCGGCAUGUAAAGCCCUAUCGGCAGGGAAGAAGCAAGACGGUACUCUAAGAAUAAGCACCGGCUAACUACGUGCCAGCAGCCGCGGUAAUACGUAGGGUGCGAGCGUUAAUCGGAAUUACUGGGCGUAAAGGGUGUGCAGGCGGUUUUGCAAGAUGGAUGUGAAAGCCCCGGGCUUAACCUGGGAAAGCCAUACAUGACUGCAAGGCUAGAGUGCGUCAGAGGGGGGUGGAAUUCCUAGUGUAGCAGUGAAAUGCGUAGAUAUUUGGAAGAACACCGAUGGCGAAGGCAGCCUCCUGGGACGCAACUGACGCUCAUACACGAAAGCGUGGGGAGCAAACAGGAUUAGAUACCCUGGUAGUC